rnacentral:lncRNA from 1 species
GACCUGCACAUUUAAAGAAACGUUUUGUUUUGUUUCUUGAAGGGCCCCAGGGGCUUAUAAAGGAGAGGAAGGGGGUGGAGUGUGAGGUUGGUAAAAGCAGCGGAAGCUGGCUUGGCAUCCUGGAGGAGCAGGAAGAGAGUUCAUGUUCCACCUUCCCCUCUUCCCCACUAUUCCACAGGGUCUGGAGGAGAAGAGCAGAGGGGUCUCUGGUUCCCAGGAAAGGGCCUGGGCCAGACUUUCUGAUGGAGACAGCUGGGUGGUGAGUGUCCAGGCAGACAGGACUGAGGCUUGCCUCACAGAAGAUUCUCGCCACUCAAGUGAGGUGCAGAAGCAGCAGCGAGCCAGCACUUCUGAAGGGAACACCUGAGCACAACUCAUUCUUUCUUGAUGAGGCUUUGCUGCUGAGGAGUUCUUGCUAUUAAUACUUCUCUUCCUGCCAAAAAAAAAACCUGGUUCCUGCACAUUUACUGUGAAGCACUGAUUAUUAGCCUCCUGGUGCUCUAGGAUACAGCAGAGAG